UCCGAGUUGACCCCGGCAGUCUCCUGCGAGUCCCCGCCAUUACGCGCUGGCAACACAGGACAAGGGUUGCGCUCGUUGCGGGACUUAACCCAACAUCUCACGACACGGGCUGACGACAGCCAUGCACCACCUGUCAUGGGCCCUUACGGACACCGUGUUUCCACGGCUUUUCCCAUGAUGUCAAACCCAGGUAAGGUUCUUCGGGUUGCAUCGAAUUAAGCCGCAUGCUCCGCCGCUUGUGCGGGGACCCGUCAAUUCCUUUGAGUUUUAGCCUUGCGGCCGUACUCCCCAGGCGGGACACUUAAUGCGUUAGCUUCGGCACGGCAGUCGUUGGUAAGACCGCCACACCUAGUAUCCAACGUUUACGGCGUGGACUAC
rnacentral:misc_RNA from 1 species